GAUGAAGAACGUAGCGAAAUGCGAUAAUUAAUGUGAAUUGCAGAAUUCCGUGAAUAAUCGAGUCUUUGAACGCACAUUGCGCCUCAUGGCAUUCCGUGAGGCAUGCCCAUCUCAGCGUUAGAAAAUAUUCUCAAAUUUUAGUUUUGUGCUAAAAUUUGGAUCAUGUCAAGGAAGCUAUUACUAUUAUUGUGAUCGCUCUUUGGAAAUUGAUAGGUCUUUGAGUUGCUACUCAUAGAACGUGAUGAAUCUUUCUUCGUUCUAUUGUAAUUCACUCUGGUAGUCCUAAAACUUGUAUGCCUGUGGCAUAUCUUGUAAUUUGACCUGAGAUUGGGUAGGGAUACCCGCUGAACUUAAGCAUAUCAAUAGCGGAGGA
rnacentral:misc_RNA from 1 species